rnacentral:rRNA from 1 species
ACGGGGAGCAGCAGGCGCGAAAACUUUACAAUGCGGGAAACCGUGAUAAGGGGACACCGAGUGCCAGCAUCAUAUGCUGGCUGCCCAGGUGUGUAAAAUACACCUGUUAGCAAGGGCCGGGCAAGACCGGUGCCAGCCGCCGCGGUAACACCGGCGGCCCGAGUGGUGAUCGUGAUUAUUGGGUCUAAAGGGUCCGUAGCCGGUUUGGUCAGUCCUCCGGGAAAUCUGACAGCUCAACUGUUAGGCUUUCGGGGGAUACUGCCAGACUUGGAACCGGGAGAGGUAAGAGGUACUACAGGGGUAGGAGUGAAAUCUUGUAAUCCCUGUGGGACCACCUGUGGCGAAGGCGUCUUACCAGAACGGGUUCGACGGUGAGGGACGAAAGCUGGGGGCACGAACCGGAUUAUAUACCCGGGUAGUCCCAGCCGUAAACGAUGCUCGCUAGGUGUCAGGCAUGGCGCGACCGUGUCUGGUGCCGCAGGGAAGCCGUGAAGCGAGCCACCUGGGAAGUACGGCCGCAAGGCUGAAACUUAAAGGAAUUGGCGGGGGAGCAC